rnacentral:rRNA from 1 species
GUGGGGAAUAUUGGGCAAUGGGGGAAACCCUGACCCAGCGACGCCGCGUGAGGGAAGAAGGCCUUAGGGUCGUAAACCUCUGUUGUGUGGGAAGAAGAGCGUGACGGUACCACACGAGGAAGUCCCGGCUAACUACGUGCCAGCAGCCGCGGUAAUACGUAGGGGACGAGCGUUGUCCGGAUUUACUGGGCGUAAAGGGCGCGUAGGCGGUCAUUUAAGUCAGCUGUGAAAUGGUCCGGCUCAACCGGAUCAUGCGGUUGAAACUGGAUGACUGGAGUGCUGGAGAGGCAAGUGGAAUUCCCAGUGUAGCGGUGAAAUGCGUAGAUAUUGGGAAGAACACCGGUGGCGAAGGCGACUUGCUGGCCAGCAACUGACGCUGAGGCGCGAAAGCCAGGGGAGCAAACGGGAUUAGAAACCCCGGUAGUCC